ACAUCACCACAUCAUUUCUCUCUCUCUCUCUAGUUCUUCCUAGCUAUCUCUCUCUCUCUCUAGAUCUUGUCGUCCUCGUCAACAAUCCAUGGAGAAAUUGUGUAGUAGUAGUUCAGGAGAUGGUGAUUGUUCAUAUUGCAACAUGUAUUGUGGUAGCAAAUCCAUGCAUAAGCAAUGGCAUUGACAUGCAUGGAGAUAUAUGUGUAGCAAAGAUGAGAGAUCUAGGUGACAAGAGAAGGAGAUGAUGGAGAUCAAUGCAUGGAUAAUUGAUCUAAAGCAAAGGUGAUGAUAUUGGGAAUGUGCCUGGCUCCCUGUAUGCCACUCAUCUAGAGCAACAAACUUCUGCGAGAGGUUGCCUAUGAUGGAUGGCGUGCACGGAGCCAAGCAUAUUCCCUCCUAUUUUCCAACCUUCUCCUAAUUAAUCCUUUCCUUUCUCCGAAUUGGCUUGGUUGCUUAUUGUUUUCUUACAUAUAUUAUCCACGCAUGUUUUUGAUUUUAUGUUUAUGCAUGGUCCUUCGACUUCUACAUGGUAAAUUACACGAUAAUUCGAUAAAUAUAUGUAUAUCAAGUAGGACAAACGUUUGUGCAUUUGUUGAAGUUUGAGGGAGGUUCGUAAAGCCAUAUAUAUGUCGAUUUUAAAUUCUUUUUGCAAGCUAAUAUUAUGUUUGUUGAUAAAUAUCUGUCCUUGAUGUCAUCUCAUUAUCUCUUAUAUAUGUAUACCUUUUUAUUCUGUUGUGGAGAAAUAUAUGGAUUUGGACUAUUCUUUUGGGAUAAUUGCCUGCAGGCAGCUAUUCCACGGACGACUGGAUCUUGAUCUUGAUCAGUAUUAUUCAAUGUGAUUUGCAAAACAGUAUAAAUGCAAUGCAUUCAUUGCGUACAGUAUUUGUAUAUCCUGCAGCUAAUGCGUGGUAAAUGAAAUGCAUUGUUUUUCUCCAUUUUUUAUAGAUAUAUUAUACGUACUCCUCCAGGUAUUAAUUGUCAUAAUAACUAGUUACCAUUUCCCCCUUUCUUCUCUAAUAUGAAUGGAAAUAAGUUUUCCCUUGGAAGAUUUUCAUGCAGAUUUCUAUCAAAUCCUCCUUUCAAAAUUGCCCACAAUGAUUAUAUAAACUGAUGGUUCUCUCCAUUGUUACUAGUAAUGUAUAAGAUACUAGUAAUGUACAUAUCUUUGUGACAUUUUGAAACAACAUGAUACUAGCUACUACCAUAUCCUGCGAGAUGUUCUAUGUAAAUCUCAUAUUAGCUUAAUUUCCCUCUUUGAAAUGGAUUUUGGGAUAACAAUGGAAAGCAUUUAGGUUCUGAAAAAUCAUCUAAAUGAGCAUCAUUAACACUCUUGUGCAUAAAUGUUCAAAAGGAUUGCACGAUAUCAGUUAACCAUUGAUUUCAAAUAUAUGUUUUCAGGCCACUUUGAUUUGAAAAUAGCAUAUUCACUCCAUGCUUAUCCGGAAUUUUCUCCUUCAUAAAGUUACCUCAUGUAGAUAUGCCUGUUUAUAACCAUGCAAGGCUUGACUAAUCGAAAAUUUGAAGCAGGGCUCAGAAUUCUAACCAGUUUGAUUUAUAUGUUUUUUUUAAUGAAGUUUGAUUUAUAUGUUGUCGUCUGAGUGAUCAUAUAGGAGUGAAUUCUAGAGAUUUUUUUCCCCAAAUUAUGACCAAGUCUAGCCAGCAUGCAGCUGCUCUCGAGUGGUUGGGGAUUUGAAGACCCAUUUUGAUCAAUAGCUUUGAAUCUUCCAUGUACCAGCUCUAUGAAUCUUCAAUGUAUCAAUUUUUUUUUAAUGAAGUCAAUGAAUCAUAUUUCAUGUUGUUUAAAUCUGGUUGUUCCAGGUUUUGUUAUUGGAAUAAAUCGAAACUUCGAC
rnacentral:sRNA from 1 species